AGUGAACGCUGGCGGUAGGCCUAAUACAUGCAAGUCGAACGGCCGCACAGGAAGAUCUUGCUCUUGCUGUUGGCGGCGGGCGGACGGGUGAGGAAUGCAUCAGAAUCUUCUUUUUCGGGGGGAAUAACGGGGGGAAGCUGACACUAACACCUCAUACUAUCUACGGCUGAGAGCAGAGGCGAAUCGGGGCCUGGGCGUUAGUAAUAGCCGAUGCCGGAUUAGCUAGUUGGCGGGGUAAGGGCCCACCAAGGCGACGAUCCGUAGCUGGUCUGAGAGGAUGAUCAGCCACACUGGAACUGAGACACGGUCCAGACUCCUACGGGAGGCAGCAGUGGGGAAUAUUGGACAAUGGGCGCAAGCCUGAUCCAGCCAUACCGCGUGGGUGAAGAAGGCCUUCGGGUUGUAAAGCCCUUUUGUUGGGAAAGAAAAGAAGCAGGUUAAUACCCGGAUGUUCUGACGGUACCCAAAGAAUAAGCACCGGCUAACUUCGUG
rnacentral:rRNA from 1 species